rnacentral:rRNA from 1 species
UACGUAGGGGGCAAGCGUUGUCCGGAUUUAUUGGGCGUAAAGAGCGUGUAGGCGGCCAGACAGGUCCGUUGUGAAAACUCGAGGCUCAACCUCGAGACGUCGACGGAAACCGUCUGGCUAGAGUCCGGAAGAGGAGUGUGGAAUUCUCGGUGUAGCGGUGAAAUGCGUAGAUAUCGAGAGGAACACCUGCGGCGAAGGCGGGUUGCUGGGCUGACACUGACGCUGAGGCGCGAAAGCUAGGGGAGCGAACGGG